GUCUCUUUGUUAGAAGAAAUAUCAAGAGUGAAAUAAGGAGUCGAACCUGCCCGGUGACUUAAAGUUAAACGGCCGCGGUACCCUAACCGUGCAAAGGUAGCAUAAUCAUUUGCCUUUUAAUUGGAGGCUAGUAUGAAUGGUUUGACGAGGGUUGUGCUGUCUCUACUAGAUUAGUUGGAAAUUAACUUUUAGGUGAAGAGGCCUAAAUAUACUUAAGGGACAAGAAGACCCUAUUGAGCUUGAGUUUUGUUUUGAAUGGUGGCUUAGAAGUAUUAGUUGUUGCUUCAAGUUGUUGUGAAUAAUUUAUAUCAUCAAUUGAGGACUUAUCUUUGGUUGGGGCGACUGAGGAACAAAAAAAGCUUCCUUUAUAUGUUUAAAAGUGUUGUGUUGUGCAAUAUCUAGGUAUUCUUACAUGUUUGAUUGAUCCAGAAUUUUUGAUCAAAGGAAUAAGUUACCAUAGGGAUAACAGCGUAAUCUUUCCGGAGAGAUCUAAUCGAAGGAAGGGUUUGCGACCUCGAUGUUGGACUAAGAUAUCCUGAGGGUGCAGAAGCUCUCGAUGGUUGGUCUGUUCGACCAUUAAAAUCUU
rnacentral:rRNA from 1 species